GUGGUGGUAAAUGCCGGAUGUUCCCACAUGAUCGCAUGUGAUUGUGGGAAAGAUUCUUAUCGGCGUUGGGAUGGGGUCGCGUCCUAUCAGCUUGUUGGUGAGGUAACGGCUCACCCAAAGGCUUCGACGGGUAGCCGGCCUGAGAGGGCGACCGGCCACAUUUGGGACUGAGAUACGGCCCAGACUCCCACGGGGAGGCAGCAGUGGGGAAUAUUGCACAAUGGGCGCAAGCCUGAUGCAGCGACGCCGCGUGAGGGAUGGAGGCCUUCGGGUUGUAAACCUCUUUUGUUUGGGAGCAAGCCUUCGGGUGAGUGUACCUUUCGAAUAAGCGCCGGCUAACUACGUGCCAGCAGCCGCGGUAAUACGUAGGGCGCAAGCGUUAUCCGGAUUUAUUGGGCGUAAAGGGCUCGUAGGCGGCUCGUCGCGUCCGGUGUGAAAGUCCAUCGCUUAACGGUGGAUCUGCGCCGGGUACGGGCGGGCUGGAGUGCGGUAGGGGAGACUGGAAUUCCCGGUGUAACGGUGGAAUGUGUAGAUAUCGGGAAGAACACCGAUGGCGAAGGCAGGUCUCUGGGCCGUCACUGACGCUGAGGAGCGAAAGCGUGGGGAGCGAACAGGAUUAGAUACCCUGGUAGUCCACGCCGUAAACGGUGGACGCUGGAUGUGGGGCACGUUCCACGUGUUCCGUGUCGGAGCUAACGCGUUAAGCGUCCCGCCUGGGGAGUACGGCCGCAAGGCUAAAACUCAAAGAAAUUGACGGGGGCCCGCACAAGCGGCGGAGCAUGCGGAUUAAUUCGAUGCAACGCGAAGAACCUUACCCUGGGCUUGACAUGUUCCCGACGACGCCAGAGAUGGGCGUUUCCCUUCGGGGCGGGUUCACAGGUGGUGCAUGGUCAAG
rnacentral:rRNA from 1 species